UAGGGAAUCUUCCGCAAUGGACGAAAGUCUGACGGAGCAACGCCGCGUGAGCGAUGAAGGCCUUCGGGUCGUAAAGCUCUGUUGUUAGGGAAGAACAAGUACCGGAGUCACUGCCGGUACCUUGACGGUACCUAACCAGAAAGCCACGGCUAACUACGUG
rnacentral:rRNA from 1 species